rnacentral:tRNA from 1 species
GGCCAGAUAGCUCAGUUGGUAGAGCAACGGAUUGAAAAUCCGUGUGUCGGCGGUUCGAUUCCGCCUUUGGCCACCA